GGGUAAAAAAGGCCAAGAUGGUGUCAAAGGAGAAAAGGGAGAGAGUGGGGAGAAGGGACCGAAAGGUCUUUCAGGAAUCGCGGGUCUUCCAGGGCCCGUUGGACCAAAAGGAGACCAAGGCAUCCAUGGCUUCCCCGGUGCUCCAGCAAUGGGGGUUGUGGGACCUCCGGGCAAGAAAGGCAGCAGGG